UGGAGAGUUGUUCUAACUCUUGUUG
rnacentral:piRNA from 1 species